rnacentral:misc_RNA from 1 species
UAGCUAAAUGCCCUCUUUUCUUCUUCACGCUGACUACAUCUUUGUCCUCCAAAAUACAUGUUGACUCAAAAGGAGGCAAGACAAAACCAUCCAUAGAGAGGAGGAUGCCAUUAGGACAAGAAUCAUGGAGCUGAAAAGUGUGGAGAAGAUAUGAAGAAAGAUCAGAAACAGUUCUGUGCUGUUGGGGUUUGAGAAGAAGCCAAGUUUUUACGAAACCCUCAGAUUUCUGCAGGUCGCUGAGAAUGUCAGGGUCAUUGAACGACAAUCGAAGCCUAACGCCCUCCAUUAUUGCUCAUGCAAGAGAAAGAAUCCGGCUUUGGAGCUUUUGCAGAUGAAUUGUAGCUACACUCUUUUCACUUCCCUUUAGUUAAACCCUG